rnacentral:sRNA from 1 species
AAAAGAACUUUGGAGAGAGAGUCAAACAGUACGUGAAACCGUCGGGAGGGAAACGAACGAGGUUGGUGCAGUGAUUGCGCAGGCUCAGGCUCGGCCGAAGGUGCCGACGGGGUGACCAGAGCGUCCCCCGGCGUCCGCCGGAGGCAGAGCCGUACUCCUCGCGAGCACGGACCAGCGGCGGUUGGAGCGGGACCAGAAGGCCGCAGGUACGGUACGUCGGGUCGGGCUCCGGCUCGCCCGACGACUUAUAGACCGGCGUGCCGGCAUUCAGCUCGGACCGAGGAAGGAGGGCAGCUCUUGCCCGGUGUGGUGCACGCCGUAUGGCGGGGCCUCCCGUCGGGGGCGAGCAGUGCUGGGUGGACUGCAUGCAGUGCUCACAGUUACGGCGAACCCACGGUCGGAGAGCGUCACUUGUGCACCA